rnacentral:rRNA from 1 species
GACGAACGCUGGCGGCGUGCUUAACACAUGCAAGUCGAACGGAAAGGCCCUGCUUUUGUGGGGUGCUCGAGUGGCGAACGGGUGAGUAACACGUGAGUAACCUGCCCUUGACUUUGGGAUAACUUCAGGAAACUGGGGCUAAUACCGGAUAGGAGCUCCUGCUGCAUGGUGGGGGUUGGAAAGUUUCGGCGGUUGGGGAUGGACUCGCGGCUUAUCAGCUUGUUGGUGGGGUAGUGGCUUACCAAGGCUUUGACGGGUAGCCGGCCUGAGAGGGUGACCGGCCACAUUGGGACUGAGAUACGGCCCAGACUCCUACGGGGGGCAGCAGUGGGGAAUAUUGCACAAUGGGCGGAAGCCUGAUGCAGCAACGCCGCGUGCGGGAUGACGGCCUUUGGGUUGUAAACCGCUUUCGCCUGUGACGAAGCGUGAGUGACGGUAAUGGGUAAAGAAGCACCGGCUAACUACGUG